CAUGCAUCGGAGGCAACAGAAUCAAUAGGGAUUUGAAUCAGCAAGAACUUUUAUGGUGGAUGUUGAUGCCUUAGAGUACUGUUCUUCAACUGAACCUUGUUUGAGAAUGCUCUCCCCUUUGCUUGUAUUCUUACACAUAUUGUGCUUGCUGCAAUGUGAAGUUGUUGUGUGGAAAUGUUAUACGGAACUGAAAUCAAUUGAAAUAAGCAGAGGAAACAAAUGACCGUAGAAUUCAAGCAAUAUAUGUAGUUUUUCAGGUUAGUAAUUAUUGAGAGGAAGACACCAUAGUAGCUCCAACUCUACUGAAUCCCACUACUGAAUUUUCUCCAUGAUGAUAGCCACUGAAUAAUCACUUCUCCAUGAUGAUAGAAGCUCAAUAAUCACCAUGGUUGCAGUAGCUGAAUUAUCAUCGUGACUGUAGCUGUGUGCAUCCUGUGUUUAUGCCAUCAAUUAUGGCCUGUAAUUUUUUUCUCUCAUUCUUCCAAUGUAUAUUGUAUAGAUGAAGAUGAUGCAACUGUAAAUAUGAUGAGAUUCCUUCACACUCAAUUUACAGUCUUUAUGGUAUCAGAGCACACAUUGCUCUAGCGAGUUCAUAUCUUCCUCCAUGCUAAUCUAGUGUGUCAAACAACCCAUCAUCAUUUAUCAUAAUGGCUGAUAAAACAUUAUGAGCAAGUUCCCAAAGCCAGGUUGUUGUAAACACAGGAUGCACACAGCUAUAGUCACAGAGAUAAUUCAGCUGCUGCAAUUAUGGUGAUUAUUCAGGUACUAUCAUCUUGGACAAGUGAUUAUUCAGCUCCUAUCAUCAUGGAGAAAAUUCAGUGAUGAGAUUUGGUUAAAUCAGAGCAACUGAUGAUGUCAUCCUUUCAAUUAUGUCCAUAGGCAAAUGUGACCAGAUAUGGCUUAGAUUAUGCAGUACAGAGCAUAUGGAAUGUCUCUGUAACUGAACUCUUAUGAAUAAUACAAGGUCCAUUUAAUUUGGAACAUGGGAAGAAGUUGUAGGAUUGAAUAAGGAGUAGAUCAUAGGGGAAGCAUUCAAAUCUGGGAUUUAUAUUUUCCUGAAUUGUGAUGAACUAGACAACUAAGUGACAUCCAAAAACUGUCAUAAAUCACAUGAGACAGAGCCCAACUUCAGUGAAGAGUGCCUUGUCUGAGCCAUUAUAGAAGCCACUGCCCCACGUUCACUGUAGCAUGUGAUAUUUACUUAUGCAUGUUUGGCAAAAUUGGCUGAUAAGUCCCUGACAAGAAGUGUGAACUUGACCAUGUUACUUAUAAUAAAUUUAAGAAGCCAUCCCAACGUCCAGAAAGGAAAUUUGUAGAUUCAGUGAAGUUUAAAUUGGUAAAUUUGUACCAAUUAUUAAGUAAAACAACACUAAGGAGUUUGCAAAGAUGAUGGGAGUCCAUGCAUUGGUGAUUUGUUAAUCUUCUAUGCUUACAAGCUGUAAAAUAGUAAAAGUAACAUAGAUCCUGCAUCCUUCCCAGUUAAAAAUGUUGUCAAUCUUUUGAUAGUUAAUUUAGUUUAAUGAUAAUUUCAGGCCCUCUGAUGAAACAGUGACCAUGAAAUUAAAUGUUCAAAAAACUUGGGAAGGGCUUAGCUGGUAUUUGAACAAAUGGUCACCAUGUAAAGAGUGCUGUGCUAGUGUGAACUUCCACCUGUACAUAUUCAUCCUCUUUUACAUCUUUGGUCCUCUCCCCUAUUACGUUUCUUCGUAGCCUGGUUCAAAUGGUAAUUACCUCUCUUUAGAGUGUCAACACUAGCUUCAAUCUGCAAUCACUCAGCUACCCCUCAAAGAGUGUUUUUGCAACUGUUCCUAGGUGGGUAAGACUUUGUUUACCUCAGUCAUAACUGCAUUUUUAUACCAUUUAGCCAUUGCCUUCUUGCAUUGGUCUGAUCUGAUCAUCAUAACACCUGCAACAUUUGUAUAACUAAAAUGUUUUCAAGGAUUCCAUCACCUGGACUCAUUGUAGGCGUCUUCGAUCCGCUUUCUCCCAUCUCUUGUUGAUUAAGUACCAUCUAGCAAGGGCAGUCAUCGCAAUACUCUCCACUUGUCUGACAUUCCAGAGUGAUAACGAAUAAAAUUUAACGUACAUAGAGGAUCCGAAGAUAGAGAUGGACGGUAACCACUAGAAUCUAGUCAGUGUGGAAUGGAAAAUAGGUGCCCAAGGGAACCUCAAACUCUAGAAAUUAGUUCUUGCAAGCCAAUAUUUUUUAAAAGGAGUCUUUUGUUUAUUUUGUUGAAGAGCCUUACUUGUUACCCAAUGAAGACCAGUGAAGGCCUGAAUAUAAUCAUGGUUCGCAGCAAUCUCAAGAAACUAUUUGGACAUGCAGAUUCUUUUAGUUCUUUUGCCUAAUCCUGAACUGACAUGCUGUCCUAUUGAAAUUUUAUAGAAUUUCAGCUUGUUGAAAUAUCACCUGACCUUUCUUUAGUUUGUAGUGGCAACCCAACGCCUGUGACAAAUGCUGAAGUUUGGUCUAAUAUCUUACUGUCAUCAGCAGGGAAAAAGAAAUCCUUGUGAUGAAUUGUGAGGUUGGGUCCUAAUAUCAUGGCAACCGUGGUGUAUUUGAUCAUAUGCUUAAGUUGCUAUAAUAUUCAAGAAAAAAAAUUUAAAUCUUCUUUUACAUAUUAGUGAAUAUUAAUGUCAAUAAUAUAGGAAUUUUGAUAAUAGAAAUACUUGUGAUUGAUGAUUUAUAGAGGAUUAACAGCAAGUUCAAUUUUUUACACUAUCAUAUGCCUGUAGUUUAAUACUCCUAACAUCUUGAUAAUUUUGCAGAUGUAGAAGUUCCAGCUGCAUGCAUCAUACUGAUAGGCUUGUUUGCUCUCCAACAUUAUGGUACCCACAGGGUUGGAUUCUUAUUUGCACCUGUGGUAGUCACAUGGCUUUUUUGUAUCAGUGCGAUUGGUUUAUAUAAUAUUUUUCACUGGAACCCUCAUGUGUAUCGAGCACUGUCUCCAUACUACAUGUACACAUUUUUGAAGAAAACUCAAAGAGGAGGUUGGAUGUCCUUGGGGGGAAUCCUGUUGUGUAUAACUGGUAAAUGUGCAUGCAUAUGAUUAAUUGUGAAUUUUAUGGCAUUUACAAUCAAACUGGUUUUCUUUUUCCUAAUACCCACUUCCAUUGCUCCAGGUUCAGAAGCUAUGUUUGCUGAUCUUGGGCACUUUUCACAGUUAUCAAUCAAGGUAUGUAUUUUUAGUGAGUACAUUAACUGACGAUUUUUUGAUAAUUCUCCCUGAGACAUGUUUGGCUAAUUCUCCAUGGGGAAAAACCAUCUGACUAAAAACUAGCUAGUUUUAUUUUCUAAACUUUUAAGGUUGUUUAAAAUUUUCCCAGAAGCCCCUUUUGUGAGCCUUGUUUGUACCUAUCUUCAGCUUCUUCUUUUUUCCCACAAUCGGAGGGCAAGUUGCUCACCUGGCAUCUCAACUUCCCUAUUAGCAUCUGUAAUGCACUUUCAUGAAGUUCGUUGUUGCAGUAUUUUUCAGAUCAGUCGUAAUUAGCACCUGCCACUUACAUGUUGAUUAUUAUCUGAUUAAAAUGAUAUUUGAUACUUCCCUUUAUUGCAGCGGGCCAAUUUUUAAUUGAAAAGAAGUUGUGAACUCAUCACCUGAGUUUACAUCCUGUUGCAGGUGUAAAUGUCUGCCUUAAAUCUUUCUUCCAUAGAAAUGGGCAGCUAGUAAUAUUUUUGCUGCAAAGCAGCAACUUCAAAACUUCAGGGGAAUUUGUUAGCUUAUUUUGGCACUUGCCCUGUGUAUUUUGAUAUACAAAACCAUCUUUUGGAGUCAAAGCACCGGAAGUGUUAACACAACCACACACACACAAAUAGAAUUAAAAGAAAAAAGAAAAAGAGAUUUUAACAUGGUUUGGUGAUCAAUGUGAUCCCUAUGUUCACAAAGCGCACCAACACUUAAGAAUCUACUAAUAAAACAAAGAUAGAAGGGUUACAAUGGUGAAGGCUCUUCUUCUCCUCACAAUUUCUACUACAUACAAUUUUUAUCUCUCUAACGAAACCUUAAAUCAUAAGAGGGUUGAAUAUAGUAGAGCAAAACUUGUCAUUCAAUAAUAAUAAAUAAAUAAAUAAAUUAUCCAUGGGUGUUGCCCCCUUCAAACCCCGCAAACUCAGCGGGGAACUCGACCCUCGACAUCCUCUGCAUAGCAUAAUAAUACUGAUUCAAGCUUUACAAUCCAAUAGGAGGCACACAAGUCAAUACCUAUUAUGAAGUUUAUCUUGGUUCUCUCAUUUUUUCAUGUUUCUUGUAUUAACUCGCUUGGUUUUUAUUAUUAUUAUGGUUUAGUACUGGGGAGUGAAGAUUUCAAGAUUGUUCUAAAAUUCUAAACAUCGCUACGGGUGUCAACAGGGCUUGUCUCAUAUAAGUGUUUAGACUCCUUGACCUUGGCAGUUGUUAGGAUCAAAUAUUAGUCCUAAUAGGUCAUUAUAGCAAGGGUUGUCAACAGGAACCUUUGUCUUUGGUUUCCACAACAUUAGUAGUUGUUGGAAUCGAAUAUUGGACCCAACAUGCAAAUAGGGUGGGUGGCUAUAUCUGUAAGUAUAUUCUGACCCAGUAAGGGCCUGCCAUUAGGAAGACACCAUGUAUUGAUUGUGAAUAUUUAACAAAACUAUAGAUGAAGUGGCUUUCACUUGUUUCUCCCUUUUUUAAUGAAUUUUUCGUAUUCUUUUGUUUCAAAGGUUGAAGUUUUAGUUAUAUUUUGCCCCUUCAAAUCCACAUGUUGAAGUGCUAAUUGAGUAAUUGUUACAUUGCUUGUUAAACUUGAGUUAAUAUCACCUGGAUAAAGGUUGGUGGGUUUUGUGAGAUGAGGGUGGUCAAUUUCAGGAACACAUGCUCCAUGACCCUUGUACACAAUCCCCAAUCCUCCCAACCAGGACCUUAGUGGGUUGUGCUCCAAGAUUUACCAGGAUAAACUAUAUUGAACUUCCAAACUCUUAAAUUCGAAUAUUAACAUUCUACUCCGUGUAGUUGGAGCAAGGAAUGGUGCCUCCUUUGCUGGAUGCAGAAUUUGAAUAUGCCCCAGGAAAUUCCUACCAUACAAAAUGCUUGACAUCUCACUCCAAAUUUACUGAUCAGAAACAUAAAUAAGUCAGAAGUUUAACAUAAUUCAAAGUGCUUACUGAUGCUGUCCAGUCUACUGACACACCCUUCUUACACUGUUUGUGAAUAUUGAGUUGCUGACUGUUUAGGUGAUAAUCAGAGAGUCUGUAUAGGUUCUAUUUUCCAAUGCCAAUAAGAAUAACAUUCUUCUUUAGUAUCAAGAAUUUAUUGCUAAAAAAUUAUUGGGUUGAUCAUGUUUUUUUUUCCUCCCCUUUUCCCUUUUGUCUUUCAUUACUUGUACCUUGUUCUUUUGUGGCAACUUCAACAAUUAGAAAGAUUCCAUUUGUUUACUUAAGAAAGUUACAAGUUUCUACCUCAAGAAGGACUACCUCCUCUGUGGCUCAGAUGGCAAGGAGUUGGGGUGUGAAAACCACUUCUAUUUUGGUGUCAGAGAUUUACCAAAGAUAAAACAAUAAUUCUUACUAUGACAAGUUAAUUGGACAAGCUUGUUUGUAUUCAAUAAUUCUAACUAGAGCACAAGCUAAUGUCAGCAUAUUUAGUUUUGUUUGUUUGUCUUUUUCCUUCGUCUGUAAUUAACUGCUAAUUGUUGACAAAUGUGUUAAUGUUUCUGCAGAUUGCUUUCACCUCUGUCGUAUAUCCAUCCUUGAUUCUUGCAUAUAUGGGACAGGCUGCUUAUCUAUCGCAACAUCAUCUCAUUGAAAGUGAUUACCGGAUUGGAUUUUAUGUUUCUGUACCAGGUAGAUACCAUAGAUUUCUUUUCUUGAUAAUGUGUAACUUGAUUUUUAGGUGAGCUUCAGCUUAUAAAUAAUUAUCCAUAUUCAUGUGGCAGAGAAACUAAGAUGGCCAGUUCUGGUAAUAGCCAUACUUGCUGCGGUAGUGGGAAGCCAAGCUAUUAUCACUGGAACUUUCUCAAUCAUCAAACAAUGCUCUGCUCUAGGUUGCUUUCCUAGAGUCAAAAUAGUUCACACUUCAUCCAAAAUACAUGGCCAGAUUUACAUCCCAGAGAUCAACUGGAUCUUAAUGCUGUUAUGCUUGGCUGUUACUAUUGGUUUCAGAGACACAAACCGCUUGGGUAAUGCAUCUGGUAUGGCAAGGACAUAACAAGUAAUCUCAACCCCAUUUACAUUUUAUUUUCACUAUUCCCACUGUUCCUAAGUGGUUAUUUUUAGAACUAUUCCUCAUAUAGCUUUAUUAUUAUUGCAGUGGGCAAGCUACUAGUACAUAGGUUUUAGUUCAAAAUGAAUUGAUGCUUGGUAUAGUCUUGUGUCUUAAUCCCAGAUUCGAGCAUAUCCUUUUUUUAAGGGCCAUGGUUGGAUGCAUGACAUAUAUAACAUGUAAAAUGGUUCAGGAGGUGCUCCAUUAGGAGAUAGCCAAUGCUGAAAAUCAUUGAUCAUCUAAGUUUCUGUCUUGAUAUAUCAUUUUUUUUUCUUAUUGAAAGGAAAAAUACAGUAUUGGUGGCUUGUUAUAUGAACUAGCGAAGGGCUGAGAGAUUUAACCAUGUUGAGGGUUAUAGGAUACAAGAUCAGUUCAAGGGUCAUCACCCUCCUGUACACAUUCCUUUUAGAAUGUCUAAUCUAUACUCUGUCUCUGUGCAUACCCAUGCAUAAGUAUCAUCCAUCCACAUUACAGUUAGUUUGGGUCAGUUGUAUAGUAGGAAAGCCUGCAAUUCAUGGCUGGUCUUUGAAACUCUCAUAUUAUAUUAUGCAUAUAUUGUACUGAACCUAUGUGUGCAGAAGAUGCUUUGGAUAUAAGAGGUCUCAAAUGGGAAGAUAGUUUAUGGCAAGUGUCUUUCUUGAUCAUAUUUGAAGUGCAUAGAAUGUGUGUGUGUGUGUGAGAGAGAGAGAGAGAGAGGAGGGGGACAGAGAGAGGAAGACAUACAUACAAAGUGAGCAAAAUAACCAAGACUUGUUCUGAUCGCUUAGAACUGAGUUGCACCUUAUUGCACAAUAAGCACGUUUAUCCAAUCCUCUGUUUGUGCCUAUAAAGAAUUAUAAUUCAUCACUAACAACUCUGAUUGCCUAUAAAGAACUGAGCUGUAUGAAAUUAUUAAACAUACAGCCACACCCAAGUGGAGGGAGGAAGGGGAGGAUGCAAACACACACCCACACACACAGACUUAUUCAGAUGGCUUCCAACUGGGUUGCACCUUCACAUACAUCCAUAUAUCUUUUAAUUGCCUAUAAAGAAUAUAAUUGACCACUGACAACUGCCUAUUUGUGAAAAUUAGACCCCAUGGUGAAUUAGAGUACAUUACUAAUUAUUAGAAAUAAGGCAACUCAAGUAUUCUAAUUAUCAGCCUUGCAAAAUUUUUCUAACCUUUUGCCUGUUCUUCAUUUUGGAACAGGUUUGGCGGUUAUAACCGUGAUGCUAGUCACCACCUGCCUAAUGUCUCUAGUUAUUGUACUGUGUUGGCACCAGAGUGUCUUCUUUGCAAUUGGCUUCAUAUUCUUCUUU
rnacentral:lncRNA from 1 species